ACCGACAAAGGACUCUCAAGGCACCCCCUGGGUUUUGAUUACUCCAUACUUCGAUACUUCAUUCUUGAGGGUUUGACUCGAUUGGAAGGGAUACUGGGUUUUGAUUACUCCUUCAUAUUCUAAACAAUAAUUUCUUGUAGACCGGGAGAGAGAAAGGGGGUAAAGACCGAUGGCGGUGCCAUGGGAUUCGACCCUUUGGAUGGCAAAGAUGAUCUUUUUGGCCCUUUGUGGUUGGAUCACAUCAUGCUUGACCGUUGCUGAUGACAUCGCUACCUCUCUACGUACAGGCGACAUAGGCCCUUUUCAUGUUGGUUGAUUUCGAGGAUUUUGGAGCUUCGGAAAUUUCUGGUCAGCCGCAUAAUACUUGAGAAGGCAAAACUGAGGAAAGAAGUACAUGGUGUACGCAUUGGCAGGGGUAGCCCAGCGAUCAGUCAUCUCUUGUUCGCUGAUGACACUGGAAUUUCACAAGGCUAGAGAAGGUUUAAUGCAGCUUUUUGUAGAAUUUUGGUGACUUAUCGCAAAGCUUGGGGCAGCUGAUCAAUUAUCAGAAAUCUAGGCUUCUCUUUGGCAAGAACACUAGUCAAGAGGAAAGGGCUUCUCUCAACAAGAAGUUAUCUAUAUCGUUUACGGGAGACUUGGGGAAGUAUUUAGUUUUGCCCUCAGAGAUAGGUAGAUCGGAGACAGAUUCAUUUCACUUUAUCAAAGAAAGUGGAACUGAGAUUUCAGGGUGGAAUGGACACGAUGUUAAAGUCUGUAGCAUAUGCUAUGCCUAACUUUGCUAUGUCAAUUUUCAAGUUGCCGGAUGGGCUAUGCAGAAGAAUAUCGGGUCAUGGCGCAGUUUUGGUGGGGACAGAAGGGGGUGAAAGGUAGGUUCAUUGGAUGCGGCAGGACAAACUUUCUAGACCUAAACACGGGCUGAUAAGGUUUCAGUGAUCUGUUAGCAUAAAACUUGGCUUUGGUGGCCAAACAAGGAUGGAAGGAAUGCCACUGUUAUGCUAUUUCUUCCUUACCAAUUCACAUGUAGGGUAAAAUGCCAGCGGCUAAUUCAAAGAUACACCAAAACAUGUGAAGGUAAUAAUGUUUCUUCUGCAGUUUUCAUCACCUAAAACUCCAAUCAACCACAGAACUAUAGCUAGAUCCUUCUCUCUCUUUGCCUCUCAACCACCACAACCAAUGCGUGAACCAGAGGAAAGAGAAGUGAGCAUAACAAACAGGAAUUACUGGACCAAAAAGAUUCACAGACUGUGUGAUGUGGACAAUGAUGUCGACGGAGCCCUUCGCCUUCUCGACCACCUCUGCCUACGUGGCUACUUCCCUGAUUCUCUCAAUAUCAGUAGCAUAAUUCACGCUCUCUGUGAGUCCCACCGCUUCUCUGAAGCUCACCAUCGCUUUUCACUCUCCAUCGAUUCCGGUUUUGUCCCUGACGAGAGGACGUGCAAUGUUCUCAUUGCUCGCUUGUUAGAUUCGAAAAACCCAUACUAUACAUUGCAUGUGUUUCGUCGUUUGAUUGCGAUGAAGCCCCGUUUCGUACCUAACUUGGUGAAUUACAAUCGUUUUAUGGAUCAAUUCUGCUGGUUGUCUCAACCCAUUGAAGCGCAUAAGUUGUUUGUUGAUAUGAGGAGUAGGGGGCACUGUCCAAAUGCUGUUUCAUACACCACGCUCAUUAAUGGGUACUGCAAAACUGGGGAUGUGGUUUCUGCCCAGAAAUUAUUUGAUGAAAUGUCCGAAUGUGGAGUACAGCCCAAUGCUCUCACAUAUAGUGUCUUGGUUCGUGGAAUUCUACGGCAGAGAAAGUUUGAACGUGGGAAGGAGCUAAUGGGCAAUCUAUGGCAGAAAAUGAUAGAUGAAAAUGAUUCAUCAGUGAACAAUGCCGCUUUUGCUAAUAUCAUUGAGUCUUUGUGUCAUGAAGGGUUGUUUCAGGAUGUGUUCAUGAUUGCAGAAGAUAUGCCUCAAGGGAAAAGCGUUCCUGAGGAAUUUGCCUACGGACAGAUGAUAGACUCGCUUUGUAAAGUGGGGAGAUAUAAUGGGGCUGCACGGGUUGCUUACAUUAUGAAAAUGAAAGGUUUUAUUCCGAGCUUGGUAUCUUACAAUUCUAUUGUACAUGGUCUCUGUAAAGAAGGCAGUUGUAUGAGGGCUUACCAGUUGUUGGAAGAGGGCAUUGAAUUUGGGUAUUGGCCUUCUGAAUAUACUUAUAUUGUUUUGAUAGAAGGUCUUUGUUUGGAAGCUGAUCUUUGUAAGGCGAAAGAAGUUUUUCAAAUCAUGUUAAAGAAGGAAGGUGUGGACAGAACAAGGAUCUACAAUAUCUAUUUAAGAGCUCUUUGUCUUAUGAACAACCCAACUGAACUUUUGAAUGUGCUUGUUUUCAUGCUUCAGUCCCAGUGCAAGCCUGACGUCAUUACCCUCAACACCAUUAUUAGUGGAUUCUGCAGAAUGGGGAGAAUCGAAGAGGCUUUGAAAAUAAUGAACGAUAUGUUGAUGGGAAAGUUUACUUCACCAGAUGCUGUAACCUUCACUAGUGUUAUCUGUGGCAUGUUAAAUGUUGGAAGAAUACGAGAAGCUCUUGAUUUAUUGCAUAAAGUAAUGCCUGAGAAGGGUGUUAGACCUGGUGUUGUGACUUAUAAUGCAGUUCUUCGUGGAUUAUUUAAACUACAUAGAGAGAGUAAAGCAAUGGAGGUUUUCAGCAGCAUGGACAGUGAUGGUGUAGUGGCAAACAGUACUACCUACACUAUCAUAGUUGAUGGGUUAUGCGAGUCUAAUCAGAUAGAGGAAGCAAAGAGGAUUUGGGAUGAUGUUAUUUGGCCAUCAAAUAUUCAUGAUGAUUUUGUGUAUGCAGCCAUUCUUAAAGGGCUUUGCCGGUCAGGCAAGUUUAAUGAGGCUUGCAAUUUCUUAUAUGAAUUGGUAGAUUGUGGGGUUUCCCCGAAUAUAGUGAACUAUAACAUUCUGAUUGAUAGUGCUUGCAAGUUAGGUUUGAAGGCAGAUGCUUACCAGAUUGUGGGAGAAAUGAGAAAGAACGGGUUGAACCCGGAUGCUGUAACGUGGAGGAUUCUUGACAGAUUACAUGGUAAUGUAGGGAAGCAAGUUUGCAUUAGUGCAAAUACACAAUUUGAAGUGGGCCUACAAGAAUUUCAUUGCUAAGGUUUUUGUUAACUGAAGCAAACUUGAAUUGGAUGAUCAUCAUAAUCGAGGAAAAAGCAGAAAGGUUGGAGGACAGUGUACCCAUGCAGUGGAUCUUUUACACUGUCUUUAAUGGCGAGACUGACAUAAGUCGUGGCUCAUAUACUUGAGUCUAAUACAAACCUGACCUUGGGCAAGUAAACACGGGCGAGGUUCGGUUUUUCACUGAGCUGGUGUGGAAACGCAUAAUUAGAAACUAAAUGGAAGAGCUGUCUUUCUUUUUUUUUUUUUUUUUUUUCUUACAGCCAGUACUCCUCAAGAAAUGCAGUACUAUGAGGGUGAUGAGAAGGUUUCGUGUAUAUAUAGCAUUUCUUAGGUACUUCUUCAUCCUGUUGAGUUAGCUGUCUGGUUGUCGGCACAUUGUUUAGCAAUAAAAAGGAAAUUCACCUGAUA